UACGUAGGUGGCAAGCGUUGUCCGGAUUUACUGGGCGUAAAGAGCGCGCAGGCGGUCGCUCAAGUCGCGUGUGAAAGCCCCCGGCUCAACUGGGGAGGGUCACGCGAUACUGAUCGACUGGAAGGCAGGAGAGGGUAGUGGAAUUCCCGGUGUAGUAGUGAAAUGCGUAGAUAUCGGGAGGAACACCUAUGGCGAAGGCAGCUCGCUGGGACGUUACUGACGCUGAGACGCGAAAGCGUGGGGAGCAAACAGG
rnacentral:rRNA from 1 species